UACGUAGGGGGCAAGCGUUAUCCGGAAUUACUGGGCGUAAAGGGAGCGUAGGCGGACUUUUAAGUGAGAUGUGAAAUACUCGGGCUCAACUUGAGUGCUGCAUUUCAAACUGGAAGUCUAGAGUGCAGGAGAGGAGAAUGGAAUUCCUAGUGUAGCGGUGAAAUGCGUAGAGAUUAGGAAGAACACCAGUGGCGAAGGCGAUUCUCUGGACUGUAACUGACGCUGAGGCUCGAAAGCGUGGGGAGCAAACAGG
rnacentral:rRNA from 1 species